rnacentral:misc_RNA from 1 species
GUUUUGUGGGCGUCCCCCCCUCCACCACUACCACGAGAAAGCAAAACAAACACACACAAAAAAAGAAAGGAACGAACGACCCUCUGUGGUGUGUAUCCGUGGUCGGUCCUCUUCGCACGCUCGAGCCAAUCCCCCCCCUUACCCCUCCCCCUGUUCGCACACCGGCAACGCGCCAAACGCGCGUACGCGUACGUAAGAAACGAUGUCCAAGACGGACGAAAACGGCAAUGAGCUCAUGGAGAUAGAGGAGGUGGCGGUCUCCGACGGCGGUGCCGCCCGCUUCGCCGCCGUUGACGUGAAGAGCGGCGAGGAGCGCUUCAACGUCAUUUGGCAGGACAGCGGCAAGCUCAUGCGCUUCGAUGAGGGCGAGAACCAGUGGAAGGAGCGUGGGCAGGGCACGGCCAAGGUGCUUCAACGCAAGGAUAACACGUCCAAGUACAUGUUCGUCUUCCGUCGGGAAGGCGUUGGCAAGCUGGCGGCGCAGCACUACCUAGUGAAGGGCAUGAAGGUGACCAAGCACAAGCAGGGUGAAAAGAUUCUUGUGUGGUCUGCCUUCAAGGACUUCACCGAUGACGAGGAGGGAUUCCCGGAGAACUUCGUGAUGCGACUGUCAUCCAAGGAGGCAGCGGACAAGGCUCUGGCCGAGAUGAUGGGGGCGAUUGAGAAGUCAAGCGUGUAGACGAGCGGCCGCAUACAGACAUCCACGCUCACGAGUGCAUCUCGCACUGAGUUCUUGUGCGUGCGUGUGUGUCGAGCAGAAACGAAGAAGAGCAAUGUGUGCAGCCGGGCAUGCAGGUGCGCCUGAGUGUGUGUGCUCUUCGGAGAGGAAGGAGAGCGCACGUAUUUUGUCUAAAACGCAGGUGCCCAUAACGUCGCCUCUUCGAGACCACUUUUCUCUCUGCAUUCUUGUUCCUCGCCGUUGGCGAAGCGUGUGUGUGUGUGUGGGCACAGAGGCGUUGCCGCGUAUCUCUUCGCUCUUCGAACCUGUUCUUUCUCUCUCCGUAACUCUUUGACGACGACGUGCCUGCGCGUGCACAUGUGUUGUGUAUCGGCGCCGCGUGUGGAGAAGCGGCGUUAUGCUGGAUCGCCGGCAAAGGAAGCCAGGCGGAGGCUCUUCACGGUGUGUGCACGGAUGGCCCCUCUGCGUAUGCGUGCUGUUGUGAGCGGUUAUGGGCGGUCGAGUGCAGAGCCACGCUAACGCCCCACUCUCUCCCGCCCACACAUGCGCACGUGUGCGUAUGUUCGGUGUGUCUGCCGCGUGCUCUGUGUGAUGCUGUGCUGUUCUGGUGGUUUCCUCCGUUUCUUUCUCUCUCCAUGUGUGUGUAUGACCGAAGUGUGUACGCACUUCAACGACGAUAGCAGCAUGUGGACGCCUAAAC